rnacentral:rRNA from 1 species
AUUGAACGCUGGCGGCAUGCCUAACACAUGCAAGUCGAACGAGUGGCGGACGGGUGAGUAAUGUCUGGGAAACUGCCCGAUGGAGGGGGAUAACUAGUGGAAACGGUAGCUAAUACCGCAUACCAUCGGCUUGGCCCAGAUGGGAUUAGCUAGUAGGUGGGGUAACGGCUCACCUAGGCGGCGAUCCCUAGCUGGUCUGAGAGGAGGACCGGCCACACGGGAACUGGGACACGGUCCAGAGUCCUACGGGAGGCGCCAGUGGGGAAUAUUGCACAAUGGGGGCAAGCCGAAUGCAGCCAGGCGGCGUGUAUGAAGAAGGCCUUCGGGUGGUAAAGUACUUUCAGCGGGGAGGCGUUACACGCAGAAGAAGCACCGGCUAACUCCGUGCCAGCAGCCGCGGUAAUUC